rnacentral:rRNA from 1 species
UACGUAGGGGGCUAGCGUUGUCCGGAAUCAUUGGGCGUAAAGCGCGCGUAGGCGGCCAGAUAAGUCCGGUGUGAAAGUCACAGGCUCAACCUGUGAAUGCCGCUGGAAACUGUCUGGCUAGAGUCCGGAAGAGGCGAGUGGAAUUCCCGGUGUAGCGGUGAAAUGCGCAGAUAUCAGGAAGAACACCAAUGGCGAAGGCAGCUCUCUGGGACGGUACUGACGCUGAGACGCGAAAGCGUGGGGAGCAAACAGG